rnacentral:lncRNA from 1 species
UUUCAGUUGGUAUAGCAGUUUACAUAGCCAAGGCAGCCAAUCUGGUCAAGGGGUGGUUUAUGCCCUAACCAAUCACAGCCUGUUGCCAGGCAGUAUCCGAAGCCAUCCAAUAACAGCCUAUUGCCAGGCAGGCUCCGUUGCCAGGUGGGUUUCGAAGCCAUUCCUGAGUAACUGACGCUUGCUUGUCAGCAGCCAUCUUGGCAUGGCCUUCUCAUUCCACCACAAGUGGGCACCCUGACUAAUGUAUUUUUGGUUAUUAUUUUUUAGGUCCACAGAAGUGAACGCUUGUGUGACCCUCUACCUCAGUGAGUGGCACCACUAACAAUCUGAGGUUAUUACACCUCUUUUCCCUUGAUAACUGCCCCUUCAGCAAUUGAAUAAUGCUGUUUGGCUUCUCAUUUGAGCAAGUGGGUACAAAUAGGCAAAUAAGUAAUGAGGAUACAGAACUGAGAAAGAAGAGGUAUGGAUGGGAAGUGAGAUACUCAGCAGACUCAUAGAAUGGCAGAUGUCCUAAAUAGCACUCUGGCCUCAGAAUCAGCCCUAAAGGCACUCGGAUCUGGCUGAAAAGCCCAUGAGAGUAUUUCAGGCAUGGAAAGCCAAGACACUCUGGCAAAAAGAUCUCUGUGAGUGAGAUCCCAGUGGAAAGAACAGGUCUUCAAAGAGGGAGGUGCCUUUCUCUGAAGGGAGGAGAGAACCUCCACUUUGACUAUGACCUUGUCUAAACAAGAUAAGAGUCGGAGAACUCAAGGGGCUUCCAUAGCCUUGGAAACUCAUGACUGGUGCAUAGGGAGAUUACUGAUGCCAUAAACAGGAGUGUCAAUUUGUAAAGUCAACAACAGGAGUCACUGUGCACUUACUCCUCAUGUAGGAUCUCUGUCCUUAAUGUGCUGUACACUGAGGCUUAAUGCUAUAAUGAGUACUCAAACAGUAUAUUUCACUUUGUGUUUCUAUGGGGGUGCAAACUGU